rnacentral:misc_RNA from 1 species
GAUGAAGAACGCAGCGAAAUGCGAUAAGUAAUGUGAAUUGCAGAAUUCAGUGAAUCAUCGAAUCUUUGAACGCACAUUGCGCCCGCCAGUAUUCUGGCGGGCAUGCCUGUUCGAGCGUCAUUUCAACCAUCAAGCCCCCGGGCUUGUGUUGGGGACCUGCGGCUGCCGCAGGCCCUGAAAAGCAGUGGCGGGCUCGCUGUCACACCGAGCGUAGUAGAUUUUAUCUCGCUCUGGGCGUGCUGCGGGUUCCGGCCGUUAAGCCACCCUUUUAACCCAAGGUUGACCUCGGAUCAGGUAGGAAGACCCGCUGAACUUAAGCAUAUCAAUAAGCGGAGGA